UACGUAGGGUGCGAGCGUUAAUCGGAAUUACUGGGCGUAAAGUGUGCGCAGGCGGCCGAGCAAGUCGAGUGUGAAAGCCCCGAGCUUAACUUGGGAACUGCGCUCGAAACUACUUGGCUAGAGUGUGGCAGAGGGAGGUGGAAUUCCGCGUGUAGCGGUGAAAUGCGUAGAGAUGUGGAGGAACACCGAUGGCGAAGGCAGCCUCCUGGGCCAACACUGACGCUCAUGCACGAAAGCGUGGGGAGCAAACAGG
rnacentral:rRNA from 1 species